GCUGGGAUAGCUCAGUCAGUAGAGCGUGAGACUCUUAAUCGUGGGUCGGGGGUUUGAGCCCCACAUCGGGCA